rfam:Schistosoma mansoni, Puerto Rico, WGS project CABG01000000 data, contig: 0071
AUCCAGCUGACUAGUCCCAAAAUGGAGGAAACUCGCGUCCUGGAU